rnacentral:rRNA from 1 species
AUUGAACGCUGGCGGCAUGCCUUACACAUGCAAGUCGGUCGGUAACGCGGGGCAACCUGGCGACGAGUGGCGAACGGGUGAGUAAUGCAUCGGAACGUGCCCAGUAGUGGGGGAUAGCCCGGCGAAAGCCGGAUUAAUACCGCAUACGACCUACGGGUGAAAGGGGGGGAUCGCAAGACCUCUCGCUAUUGGAGCGGCCGAUGUCAGAUUAGGUAGUUGGUGGGGUAAAGGCCUACCAAGCCGACGAUCUGUAGCUGGUCUGAGAGGACGACCAGCCACACUGGGACUGAGACACGGCCCAGACUCCUACGGGAGGCAGCAGUGGGGAAUUUUGGACAAUGGGCGCAAGCCUGAUCCAGCCAUGCCGCGUGCGGGAAGAAGGCCUUCGGGUUGUAAACCGCUUUUGUCAGGGAAGAAACGGUCCGCGAUAAUACCGUGGGCUAAUGACGGUACCUGAAGAAUAAGCACCGGCUAACUACGUGCCAGCCGCCGCCGUAA